UCCCCGGUGGUGUAACUGGUAACACAGGAGAUUUUGGUUCUCCGAUUCUGGGUUCGAGUCCUGGCCGGGGAACCA
rnacentral:tRNA from 1 species